AUUCUGGUUGAUCCUGCCAGUAGUCAUAUGCUUGUCUCAAAGAUUAAGCCAUGCAUGUCUAAGUAUAAGCAAUUAUACAGCGAAACUGCGAAUGGCUCAUUAUAUAAGUUAUCGUUUAUUUGAUAGUGCCUUACUACUUGGAUAACCGUGGUAAUUCUGGAGCUAAUACAUGCUAAAAACCCCGACUUCGGAAGGGGUGUAUUUAUUAGAUACAAAACCAAUGCCCUUCGGGGCUCUUUGGUGAUUCAUGAUAACUAUACGAAUCGCACGGCCUUGCGCCGGCGAUGGUUCAUUCAAAUUUCUUCCCUAUCAACUUUCGAUGUUUGGGUAUUGGCCAAACAUGGUUGCAACGGGUAACGGAGGGUUAGGGCUCGACCCCGGAGAAGGAGCCUGAGAAACGGCUACUACAUCCAAGGAAGGCAGCAGGCGCGCAAAUUACCCAAUCCCGACUCGGGGAGGUAGUGACAAUAAAUACUGAUACAGGGCCCUUUCGGGCCUUGUAAUUGGAAUGAGUACAAUUUAAAUCCCUUAACGAGGAACAAUUGGAGGGCAAGUCUGGU
rnacentral:rRNA from 1 species